CAAGGAUGAAAUCCUCACUGCCAUUAAAGGGAAAGGAAAUUACAGCUCUUCAAAGCUGUCUCUACUGCUGCAGAAGCUAACCGAUCUGCAAGAUAGGAACGACCAGCUGUCUUGCUGUCAACAUCUGAUAAAUAGUGUGGGUGCUCUGACGCCAGAGCGAGAGGUGGAAAUGGAUCAGACCAGGGGUGUGUUUGAGCGCCUGCAGGGAACCAAGCAGGAACUGGAGAAGAGCCUGUCCCAGACACUACAAGACAAGGACAAGGCCAUUGCACACCUGCAGGAUGCUCUGGACACAAAGGACAAGGACAUUGAGUAAUAUCUCUUCAGGUCAUGGCUGGUCAGUUCCAUAGCCAGACAGAAGAAAGCAACAGGGAGCUAGAACGACUGGAACAGAGACAGAGAGACGGAGGACAUUUUGGCUCAAUUCAAUGCAGAUAAGCAGAGACAGCUGACUGAUCACCAACUCACAGUAGAAGAGCUCCAGUCUGCCAUCAGUAUCAGGUGGUUCUCUGUAGCUCAGCUGGUAGAGCACAGCGCUUGU